ACUGUUUUGAAAAGCCUUUGUGGUGACCGUCGCUGCAAUGUGCACGUUUGAAAGUAUCUACAAUGAGAAAAGCAGUCUGUGAACGCGAGUUUUCGUUGGGAAAAGGUUUGCAGGAAAGCCAAUUUGCUGAUUUUUGCGAACUUUAAUCAUUGUCAUCGACAUGAGUAAUGUGUCACGUGGCCUCCGCCACUUUGCGACAGAGAGAGAGAGAGAUCCGAAAAGGUAUCAUCCGCCAUCUUGCGACGGGGAGAGAGAGAGAGAGAUCCGGAAAGGUAUCCGGAGAGUGGUGUGGCAGUCCACUGCACACCGCAGCAAGCGCAUGAUGGCCGUCGCCUGUUCUUCGGACUGGAAUGGACCCUUGCUCCGCGGCUGUCUCAUUGGCCAUAGCCAACUGAAAUUCCUAAACCACUCGAGGUUAUACCUCGGAGUAAAUUGUGCCACGUGCACAUUUAGUUUUGGUGGUGCUCGCGCGCCACGUUUAAUGCAGGCGCUGGAGCGGCUGAAACCCGGCCAAGAUUUCAUCGCCGUCUGCGUCGGCGGCAAUGAUGUAGCGACACAUGAAGCGGCAGACGAUAUAGCUGACAACAUCAAGCAUGUCCUGGAAUGUGCGGCCGCCAUAGCCAGGAAGGUUUUCUGAUUUGCCAUACCCCCUCGCCUCAAUGAAGGCGAAAACGGGAAGAAGAGGGUGCGUGUGAACGCACUCACAAGGCAGCAUGUGGCAGCAAUGACAAACGUCAUCUGCAUAAAUUUGGAAGACAGGUUCCUUGGAAAAGCCAGGGCCACGAAGUCAGCUUUCUACGGCGCUGAUGGAUACCAUGUGUCCCGGGGAGCUGGCAUAAAGGCCCUGGCCAGGGCACUGAGCCUUGCCGUCCGGGCUGCUUUCAGAGCAGAAUGGCAGCCAUGUGGCAGGAAGACUGCCACUCAGAAUUGGAAAAUUCUCUACUGCGCAGCCUGCCAGGCCAAAGGCCAUGUCAGCCCUCAGUGCGAAACAUUUUUGCAAAAUGCACAGCCUUAAAGUGCAAAGCGAACAUUGUUUAACUGUGCGAACAAAUGGACCACAGAGACAGCAUGGGACAAGGUCGGACUCAGACUUGCA